UGUCUGUCCCUGUGAAGCUGCAGUCUAGUGGAACAUACUGAGGCAAAAUUUAAAAAGAAUGUGACAAGGAAGCAGACAAUCAAUCUACAUCCUGGAUCCAAGGACUCUUGAAGAAAACAAAACCACUGGUUUUGGCCAGUUUUGAGGGGUCAUAGCAACAGAGAGUAAAGGAUUCAAGUUAUCCGAAUCUACUCUGAUAAUAUAAAUCUCCCCCCACCCCAAUCUGGUGGACGGGAAAUG
rnacentral:lncRNA from 12 species